CUAAAAUAUAUGGAACGCUACCUGCAGCCGGAAGUUUGAAGCCGCGAUUUCCGGUUAGAACCAAGUCUUUCCUCGCGAUAAAUACGCGCGGCCAAAACACAAGCAUUUAAAUUUGAUUUUAUAAAUUGUUUUAAAAAAUAUCCUUGAAAAUGCAAUCAUGUCGCUGCCGAAAGAUGUUUUUUAUUGAAUAAACUUUGUCUUUUUUAAUGAAUUUCAUGAAAACUAUGCCUAGUUUUUAUUUAGAAUUUACACUUACGUUAUUUGUUUUGUUUUUCGAAAUGCCAGGUGAGCAGAAUGCAAAGUUAAACCUAGUUUUGUCCCUGAGUGUGGAAAAAUAAAAAUCUUUCAUAUGUACUUUUGACCGACCUUUAAACAUGACGAUAACAACCCUUAUGAGCCAUGAAUGAGAAAUAAGAAGAAAUAGAUAGUAUAUUAUUAUUUAUUUAUUAUUAUAAGUAUUUAUUUAUUCAUUUUACUUCACUAAAAAUUCACAUUUCACAGGUAUUUAUUUAUUUCUUGUUUACUUUACUAAAAAUUCACAUUUCACAGGUAUUUAUUUAUCCUUUGUUUACUUUACUAAAAAUCCACAUUGUUUCCUGCCAAUGUUCCAAAGCCGGCCAAGGUGGGCAAACGGAGAAACAAUGUUUCCGCAACUAUAAUCUUAGUCUGAACUUGGUAGGAAACAUUCUUGUUUCCCAAGAAGCAAAAUUUGUUUCUGCAACAAUGUUUCCACAGGUGGGCAAAUGGGAAAACAUUUGAGGAAACAUUGAGAAUCACUAAUGUUUCUGCAACAAUAUUUCUUAGUUUGGGCUUAAUUAUACACAAAAAAACAAACAUAAACCUGAUAUUUGUGAUGUUACUCUGAGUGUAUAUCCACACCGGGCGAGCUUGAAAAAUAUGCCCGGCCAUGGUGGGAUUCGAACCUACGACCUUUGGAAUACUAGCCAAAAAAAAAUCAUAUUACUAGAAUACAUUGGUAUCGAAGGAACUAGAUUCAGUUCCUAAAUAUCACUUACUCGAACCGUCCUGACCGCGUAGCUCAGUUGGAAGAGCAUUGGGCUAGUAUUCCAAAGGUCGUAGGUUCAAAUCCCUCUGUGGCCUGGCAUAUUUUUCAAGCUUGCCCGGUGUGGAUAUACACUCAGAGUAACAUCACAAAUAUCAUAUUCACCUGAGUACACAACACCAACACAGGAAAAAAAAAACCCAAAAAAACAUAAACCUGUGAUAUUAGAUACUUCAAAGAAAAUAUAACAAAAACAAGCCUAUUUUACACAUUUUGACUUUUGACAUGUGUACAUCACCUACAACAAAAAAAACAAACACAGGAAUAAAUAAGACAAGCAGACAGACAGAAGGGUGAUAAUUAAGCUGAAUUUACAUAAAAAUUAUUAUUAUUGUUAUGGAUUUCCUUUGAAAAAUAAUGCUUUACAAAUAUGUUGGGAGAAUUAUGUUCAAAAAAGUUAAUAAAAAGCCAUGGCAAGUCAACCAGGACAGUCAUAUAGGCAGCAAGCAUUUCCAAUCAACUGAUUACAUCUUGCCUCCUUCAUCCAACAACACAUGUCGACUCAAAAAAUAUGCUUUUCCAUCUUUUUCAUGCUUUAUUGAUGAGGCAUUCUCAUCCCUUUCUCAGAAGGUUGAGGUAAGCAUUAUCAGCCGAGCCGAGCUCAAUCAAAUACUGACAAAGAUUACUGUUUGGUAAUAGACGCAAUGUCUAUCCGAAAACAAACCAUUUGGAAUCCAGAAAAAGACUCCUACGGAUUUGUAGACUUUGGAAAUGAGAUUCCUAAUGGACAUUUAGAAAAAUUGGCCACAGAAGCUUUGGUUUUUCUUCUGGUAGGUACCAGAAGUCAUUGUACUGUAAAUGUUCAGUGGGAUACCUCUUGGCUGAUAAAAUGAAUGCAAAGGACCAAGCCACACUGGUAAAAAGU
rnacentral:lncRNA from 1 species